AAUACAUGCAAGUCGAGCGGACAGAUGGGAGCUUGCUCCCUGAUGUUAGCGGCGGACGCGUGAGUAACACGUGGGUAACCUGCCUGUAAGACUGGGAUAACUCCGCGAAACCGGGGCUAAUACCGGAUGGUUGUUUGAACCGCAUGGUUCAAACAUAAAAGGUGGCUUCGGCUACCACUUACAGAUGGACCCGCGGCGCAUUAGCUAGUUGGUGAGGUAACGGCUCACCAAGGCAACGAUGCGUAGCCGACCUGAGAGGGUGAUCGGCCACACUGGGACUGAGACACGGCCCAGACUCCUACGGGAGGCAGCAGUAGGGAAUCUUCCGCAAUGGACGAAAGUCUGACGGAGCAACGCCGCGUGAGUGAUGAAGGUUUUCGGAUCGUAAAGCUCUGUUGUUAGGGAAGAACAAGUACCGUUCGAAUAGGGCGGUACCUUGACGGUACCUAACCAGAAAGCCACGGCUAACUACGUGCCAGCAGCCGCGGUAAUACGUAGGUGGCAAGCGUUGUCCGGAAUUAUUGGGCGUAAAGGGCUCGCAGGCGGUUUCUUAAGUCUGAUGUGAAAGCCCCCGGCUCAACCGGGGAGGGUCAUUGGAAACUGGGGAACUUGAGUGCAGAAGAGGAGAGUGGAAUUCCACGUGUAGCGGUGAAAUGCGUAGAGAUGUGGAGGAACACCAGUGGCGAAGGCGACUCUCUGGUCUGUAACUGACGCUGAGGAGCGAAAGCGUGGGGAGCGAACAGGAUUAGAUACCCUGGUAGUCCACGCCGUAAACGAUGAGUGCUAAGUGUUAGGGGGUUUCCGCCCCUUAGUGCUGCAGCUAACG
rnacentral:rRNA from 1 species